rnacentral:rRNA from 1 species
GACGAACGCUGGCGGCGUGCUUAACACAUGCAAGUCGAACGGGUCUGCCCUGUUUUUUGCGGGGUGGGUCAGUGGCGAACGGGUGAGUAACACGUGAGUAACCUGCCCCUCACUUCUGGAUAACCGCUUGAAAGGGUGGCUAAUACGGGGUGUUCUGGCUGUGCCGCAUGGUGUGGCUGGGAAAGAUUCACUUUUGUGGUGUUUUGGUGGGGGAUGGGCUCGCGGCCUAUCAGCUUGUUGGUGGGGUGAUGGCCUGCCAAGGCUUUGACGGGUAGCCGGCCUGAGAGGGUGGGCGGGCACACUGGGACUGAGAUACGGCCCAGACUCCUGCGGGAGGCAGCAGUGGGGGGUAUUGCACAAUGGGCGGAAGCCUGAUGCAGCGGCGUCGCGUGAGGGAUGGAGGCCUUCGGGUUGUGAACCUCUUUCGCCGGUGAAGAAGGUCCUGCUCUUUGUGGUGGGGUUGACGGUAGCCGGGUUAUGAAGCGCCGGCUAACUACGU